rnacentral:lncRNA from 1 species
UUUGUCUUGAAAUUAUGUACAUUUUCCUUCAGAGGACCCAAAUCCCCAUCUUCCUUGCUGUCUGUAAUGAUAAGAAUUUCAAGGAGCCCUGACCAGCUGUGCCUUUCUUUGAACUGUGUAGUUCAAAGGCAGACUUUGGGCUUUAAAAUUUCAGUGGCACCCUGCGAGACGCCAAAAUUUGGCUCCCCCCUCCCCACGUCUCUCACCUUUGGCAUUGUUGCAGCACCCACUGUGGCACCCUCUCAGCUUGGCGCCCAGUGUGGGCACCCUUAAUUCCACCUUUGUGAGUGUUAACUGCCUGGGAUCUUAACUCACCCUCAGCUUCAACUGACAAGACUCAAAAAGGAGAUUCAGGAGUAAUUGCACUCUGGAAACAAAGAAAAGGUAUGUAAUAAUCUUUGAAUAAUGGCAUGAAGAGUUUUGAAGGAUUAAAUGACAAUCCUAUUCCCGAAUUAAAUGUCCUAUUCAUCAAUAAGCUUUAUGGCAUGCAACUUUCGGGCAAUUCUUCAACUGUUAAAGAGCUUAGUAAUCAUUUUAUCACUUACCUCCUCAGCUACCUCAGUUCUGUCACUCUGUUCUAGAAUUUCGUCCCUCGCUCUUUUCAAAUUCCCACCCAAAUUCCAGACCCUUGGUUGGUUUACAGGGAUGCUGGCUACUUAAAUAGGCCACAAGCAUAUUUCAGAGGACACAGGGGCUCACAAUUGAUGCUUUUAGGUGCUGACAGGCUCCGGCAGCUGCUAUGCCAGGCACUUGUUGCUAGGCAACAAGUUCUGUAAUAUCUUCAUAAGUUCUGAAGAGUUUAAAAGACCUGCAGGAACAGGCCUGUUCUCCUGUGCUAUCACAAUGCCCAUCAACAUUAGGGCAGGUGUGCAAUACUUGCCACGGCGGACUUAGCAAAAUGAGGCCACAAGAGACUUAAGAGUAGAACAAACAGAAUUUGGAACGUUUACUGCUGUUGAAUCCAAAUAGCUACCGCCGUCAGGUUUCAGUUCCAUGCUUGGUGUUCAUUCACACAAUAAACAAUCACGUGGAGGAAGAGAGUGAGGCAUGUUCAGGGUUUGAAACCGUUCAGGGGUCUGUCAGGGACACCACAGCCGAGUUGUGCAGACCAGCUCUCCUACUCCAUUCUGUGACUGAACAAAGGAACCCAACAAAGGAACAAAGGAAGAUGAGACAGAUCAUUGGUCCAUACAGCUCACAGUAUUGUCUACACUGACUGGCAACAGCUCUCUCCAGGAUUUCAAAAUGGAGUCUUGCUCAGGUCAGCCUUCCUGGAGAUGUUGGGGUUUGUGGGUUGUAUCCCAUGCUAGUCAUACUCAGAGCAGAGCCAGUGAUACUAAUGGGCAAGGCAAACUUGUACAGUGGUACCUUGGGUUACAAACGCCUCAGGUUACUAACACUUCAGGUUACUAACACUUCGGGUUACAGACUCUGCUAACCAGGAAGUAGUACCUCGGGUUAAGAACUUUACCUCAGGAUGAGAACAGAAAUCGCACGGCAGCAGCAGGAGGCCCCAUUAGCUAAAGUGGUACCUCAGGUUAAGAACAGUUACAGGUUAAGAACGGACCUCCGGAACAAAUUAAGUUCAUAACCAGAGGUACCACUGUACUCAGAAAGUGUGCACCAAAAGAUCACACCAUUUUUGGAUACAAAGAUUUCCUCAGGGAUGCUUCCAAAGGCCUGUUUCCAAAAUUGUUCCCCAUUCCAUAGAUGAUUUGGAGGCAUGUAGUAUCACUAAAGUACUAUUGCUGAUAUUUUAUUUUCUCUUUGAGCAUAGUGUCAUAGGUAGGCAGGGCGUUGGACUAGAUGACCCUUGAGGUCCCUUACAACUUUACAACUUUACAAUUCUAUAAUUCUAUGAUUCUAUUAUAUUAAUGGUAGAUUGUUCCUGUUUGUUAGAAACAGAAGCAUUAUGAGAAACAGCAAUAUUAUUGAUCUUUUCCAUCCUGCGCUACUAUACUUCUUGACCUUCUGACUUCUUACAAUUUAUUUACAGCUUAAUUUGAACCACAAAUUGAAACAAAAAUAUUGCCUAUGGCAUUCAGGCAGCGUUUCCAGCUGGUUUUGUAGACCCAGAUGGUUCAGAUGAGAAUCCAUAUGUCCGAGUGUUAAUUCGGACUGGACAGACUAUCUCUGAGGCUCUCAGGGCUCAUCAGCCAUUAAAAAAAACAACAUGCCACUAAUGUUCAAUUAGUUCAAUCACACUAUAGAUUUGCCAAGUCAAAGUUUAAAAAUAUGGGGCACUCCAGAUAUCUGGCAUUUAUUCUAGUCAAUACAGCAAUAUAGUGCUCUGAAUUAAGGGACACCAAUAAUGUUGUACAGAGCUGACAUAUUUUGAAGAAAAGGGCAAUAAUAAGGUAUCAUUUAAAAUAAAGGAAAUCUUCCAUUAAUCUCUUAGAAGACCUUUGUUUCCCCCCUUACAUGGCUCCAUAUGUUCAUGGAGCAUAGCAUUCUAUCCUUUUCAGGCUAUCACUCAAGUCCCACCAUUAUGGCUGUUGUGCAUUUUCUUCACUAUGAUUCCUUAAUUCCCGUGUGUGUGUGUGUGUGUGUGUGUGUGUGUGUGUGUGUGUGUAGGGGGGGAUGUUUCAAAAUCCAGCUGCUGCCAUUUCAUUAUUUGGUAAAGUUUUUAUUGGCAUAUGUGGAUUUCAAGCAAUAUUUUAGGAGAGAAAAUGUCUUAUGUAACUAAAAUAGCUAAAAAGGGAAACAGAUUUUAUUAUUAAUACUGAAUUUUUUGGAGCAUGAAACAAAUGAAAGCCAUCAUGCAUGACUCACCACGAGCUACUGUACAUACCUUUUAUUCAUUGCUGCCUAAACAUUAUGUGACUGAUUGCAGAUAGUAAAGGGUUUCAAAAGAGACAAAAUCCUAAAAAGAAUGUAAUGUAGCAUUUGACCUCUAUUUAAACGGGUUGUGUAUAUUGUCCUGGAUGUUCAAGAUAAAGGAUUCAGCCUAGAACAACAUGAAACUGAUAUAUCCUAUUCCAAUAAAGAGUUACAAACCAUCACACCUCAAAUACUCAUAAGCCUAUAGAUUAAUGAGGCCUCUGCACAGUGAAUCGUCUUCCUUCAGUCGUGAGUAAAUUGUUCUAUUCCUCAUAAAACUGUUUAGCAGAUUCUGCUGGCCAUUCCCAACUCCAUCAUGCUUCCUUCCACCCAUUUCAUCUUUAAUGAUUUUUAUGUAGACAGAUUCAAAUGCAACUAAGAUACAAAGUAAAUGACAAAUAACCAAAUAGUUCAGGCAUUUCGCUGAGAACACUUAUCAAAAGAGUACAUCAGGUUCAAGAGCUUUGACGUCUCCACUUAUGAGUCAUGCUUAUAUAAAUGAGUAUUAUUUAUUUAGACCAGAAUUUAUAUCCCAUCUUUCUAAGCAAAAUAGCAACUGAAAGUGACAUACUUAGGUACUGGUGGGAGGAGGUACUGGUACUGGGAGGAGGUACAAGGAAAUAAACAACUAUCUGACUUUUAGAAGACAUCUGAAGGCAGCCCUGUUUAGGGAAGUUUUUAAUGUUUGAUGUUUUAUCGCUUUUUUAUUAUUAAUAAUAUUCUGUUGGGAGAGUGGCUAGGGAAACCCAGCCAGAUGGGCAGAAUAUAAAUCUGUUGUUGUUGUUGUUGUUGUUGUUGUUGUUGUUGUUGUUAGAUAAUACCUUAAGGACUACCUGAAGCCUUUUGUCCAAGCUGGUUGUGAUUAUGUUGUGAAACGCCCAGCGAUUUUCAGAUGAAGUGUGGCAUACAAAUUUAAUUAAUUAAUUAAUUAAUAAUUGUACUUCAUGUUACAAAAGUGUGACAGGCUUCAACUAGAAAUUGGUCAGUUGGUGCCGCCAAUAAUAGCUCCUUGAUGUAGAAUGUUCUUCCAGCAGAAAUUUUGCAGUCUUUAAAAUGCAGGCUUUUUUCUCUUGUUCCCCACAGUAAAAGCAGGGGUUGAGGAUGAAGAAGCGAAUGAUGCCCUGAUAGCAUCCAAGGGAACUGCAGUCUGACGACACUCUCAAAUUUUUAUUAUAUAGUAAGAUAUACCACCUUGAGAUUUUAUAUGAGUUGGCAGUAUAUAAAAAAUAUAAAUGGAGCAC